AAUGAACGUUGGCGGCGUGGAUUAGGCAUGCAAGUCGAGCGAGAAGGUUUCCUUCGGGGAACUGGACAGCGGCAAACGGGGUAGUAAGGCGUAGGUUACGUACCCUCAGGACCGGGAUAGCCACGGGAAACUGUGGGUAAUACCGGAUAAUCUCUACGGAGCAAAUGGUGAGAUUCCGCCUGAGGAGCGGCUUACGUGGUAUUAGCUAGUUGGUGAGGUAACGGCUCACCAAGGCAACGAUGCCUAGGGGGUGUGAGAGCAUGGCCCCCACCACUGGGACUGAGACACUGCCCAGACACCUACGGGUGGCUGCAGUCGAGAAUCUUCGGCAAUGGACGCAAGUCUGACCGAGCGACGCCGCGUGCGGGAUGAAGGCCCUUGGGUUGUAAACCGCUGUCAGAGGGGAUGAAAUCAUCGAGGGCUAUCCCUUGAUGUUGACAGAGCCUCAGAGGAAGCACGGGCUAAGUACGUG
rnacentral:rRNA from 1 species